CAGAACGCGCGCAGGGGACCGCGCGAUUGUGGACCGGAGAGGCCAGGAUUCCCCAGUGGCUGCGCGGUCGAAAGGCGGGAGCCGGAGGUUGCAGGACACUGGGUGACUUCUCAGCCUCUGUUUGAUUUGGCCAUAAGAACUCAGCUUUUCUUCUCUAGCCUGGUCCCAAGCUCCAGGCCUGGGACCAUUCCAUCCUCCUGGUCUUCCCUCAUUCAGAUGUUACCAACACAUCCCUGGCCAAGAGACAUUCAAGGAGAUAGCUGGAUGCAGGCCUCUCUCCUCUUCUACCUACUCCAGUGGACUCAAGACACGUAACUGAUUGUGAACUCUUGAAGGAAAUGACCAUGCCUGGCAGUACCAAGCUCAGAACUACUAUCAGUGAUUGUUGAAUGAAUGCUAGUGGGAGACCAGACCCCACGUGAACAUCUGAGUCACUCCUCUAUUCUGUGAAUUCACAGCUGGUAGCAACAUCCUAAGGAUGGCCUUGGUCCCCAAGACUCAGUGAUUAGAGUGUGUGUGCACGCUUUAAAGUUUACCUACGAUUCUUGUUUCACUUUCUCCUGUUGGUGGUUUUAACAAAACGAUGUCACUUACCAUAUUAGAAGGGGCUACUUUCUUUUCAGAGUAGACUGCUUCAGUCACUCACUUGAGCACAGCAAACAGAGGUCUGGGAGCUGCUGUCAUGGAUGGAAGCAAGGAUUUCUAAGAGUUCAUUUGGGUUUUCAAAUCCUUUGCACUGGUUCUUAGAAGUAGAUUAAUAAUCUUUACUAGUGAUGGCAAUAAGUCCUAGUUCACAGUCUGUGAACAGAGGUUCUUUUGGAAAAUGUAGUAAGUGCCUGAAAAGAAU